rnacentral:rRNA from 1 species
UGGUGGAGUGAUUUGUCUGGUUAAUUCCGUUAACGAACGAGACCUCGACCUGCUAAAUAGUACUAGAUAGUUUUUAACUAUUCUAGUACUUCUUAGAGGGACUAUUGGUUUGUAGCCAAUGGAAGUUCGAGGCAAUAACA